GACGAACGCUGGCGGCGUGCUUAACACAUGCAAGUCGAACGGAAAGGCCCUGCUUUUGUGGGGUGCUCGAGUGGCGAACGGGUGAGUAACACGUGAGUAACCUGCCCUUGACUUUGGGAUAACUUCAGGAAACAGGGGCUAAUACCGGAUAGGAGCUCCUGCUGCAUGGUGGGGGUUGGAAAGUUUCGGCGGUUGGGGAUGGACUCGCGGCUUAUCAGCUUGUUUGUGGGGUAGUGGCUUACCAAGGCUUUGACGGAUAGCCGGCAUGAGAGGGUGGCCGGGGACCAUGGGACUGCGGGACGGAGCAGUAUGCAACGUGAGGCAGCAGUCGAGAAUCUUGCGCAAUGGGCGCGAGCGUGAGGCGGCGACGUCGCGUGCGGGAAGACGGCCUUCGGGUUGUAAACCGCUUUCGAAUGUGACGAGGCGUGAGUGACGGUAAUGGGUAAAGAAGCACCGGCUAACUACGUG
rnacentral:rRNA from 1 species